rnacentral:rRNA from 1 species
UACGGGGGGAGCAAGCGUUGUUCGGAUUUACUGGGCGUAAAGGGCGCGUAGGCGGGUUGCCAAGUCUGUGGUGAAAUCCUCCAGCUUAACUGGAGAACGGCCGUGGAUACUGGCGACCUCGAGGGGGGUAGGGGCUUGCGGAACUGUGCGUGGAGCGGUGAAAUGCGUUGAUAUGCACAGGAACUCCGGUGGCGAAGGCGGCGAGCUGGACCCUUUCUGACGCUGAGGCGCGAAAGCCAGGGGAGCGAACAGG